rnacentral:rRNA from 1 species
GACGAACGCUGGCGGCGUGCUUAACACAUGCGAGUCGAACGGAAAGGCCCUGCUUUUGUGGGGUGCUCGAGUGGCGAACGGGUGAGUAACACGUGAGUAACCUGCCCUUGACUUUGGGAUAACUUCAGGAAACUGGGGCUAAUACCGGAUAGGAGCUCCUGCUGCAUGGUGGGCGUUGGAAAGUUUCGGCGGUUGGGGAUGGACUCGCGGCUUAUCAGCUUGUUGGUGGGGUAGUGGCUUACCAAGGCUUUGACGGGUAGCCGGCCUGGGAGGGGGACCGGCCACAUUAGGACUGAGAUACGGCCCAGACCCGUAUGGGAGGCAGCAGUGGGGAAUAGUGCACAAUGGGCGGGAGCAUGAUGUAACAACGCCGCGUGCGGGAAGACGGGCUUCGGGUUGUGAACCGCUUUCGCCUGUGACGAAGCGUGAGUGACGGUAAUGGGUAAAGAAGCACCGGCUAACUACGUG